rnacentral:rRNA from 1 species
UUGGAUUCAGAGGUGGGGUUGUGGGUCGGGUGUGGCCCGGCAGCUUGUCUCCGUGUGCCGCUCCCAAUCAACCCGCGUUUGCCCCAGCCUCCUAUCGCACGGAAACGGAGUCCUGCUGGGGUCUCCUUAACUGGGGGUUCCAGCGCUUCCGCGCACAACGUGCGCUUACGGACCGUCCGUGGACGUUACUGUGAACAAAACAGCGUGUUCAAAGCAAGUGGCUUGCCUGCCCUGCAUGUUAAAGCAUGGAAUAACAAGGCAUCGACCACUCGGCGGUGCUUUUGUUGGUCUUUCCCUCCCGGUGGGAAUGCGCAGGCGUGCACACUGCCGGCCUUCUGGCCGGUCUGGGUGCCGUCUCUUCGAGAUCAAUAGGGGCAAACGGGGAGAUACCUAUUGUGGGGAGAGCGGUGAAAUGCGAUGACCCCCAUAAGAGGAACUUCAGCGAAAGCAGUUCUCAAGACUGCCUUCGUUAAUCAAGAACGAGACUGUGGGGAUCAAAGAUGAUCAGAUACCGUCGUAGUCCACUAGCGUAAACGAUGCCGACUCAUCAUUGGGGGG